UCACAAAGUAAGUUUUUUAAUUCAUUGGCUGAUCUAUCGCAUUAUACUUAAAUGUAAUUUUUAUAAAACAAAUUACAUAAAAAGAACUCGCCUAUGUUCUGCUAAAUGUAUUGUACAAUUUACUGAUUUGAAAUUCGCGGUUUUGAACGCCAGUGAUGUCGCUAUGAGAUCUGUUCUUUUUCGCUGCACUGCUGCACUGGUGCAACAAGUUAGAAUGAGAAAAAAUAUAUUUGUCUUACUUUAACUUAUUGCACCAAUGCAUCAGUGCAGCUAAAAAGAGCAGGCCAAUGAUCUUGCUGUAUUUAGAGAGCCUUUAGAGCCGCCGCACAGACUUUUGCAUAACGCAUAGUGCAUGACACAUAAGAGAAUUAAUCAAUCAAUCUAUUUCCCUCCCUAGGAUAGAAAUAAAGACCUCUGAUUGGUUGAUUCUCUUAUGCAUUUCGUGUUAUGCAGAAGUCUGUGCGGGGGUCCUUAAUCGGAGUGACGCUAUAAGAGAGGUUCCGCCAUCGAAAUCGUGCGAGCGAGAAAGAAAUAUGUCCGUGCGAAAAAGAGAUAUGUCUAACACAGUAUUGCAAGUCUCUGUCUAAGGUCUAACACAGUAUUGCAAGCUGACAGAAAGUUAUGAAAACAAUAUUGACAUUGACAUUUGUGCAAAAUGGUUGGAUGUAAUAUAUCCUUUUGUAAUAAUUGUUCUGAAAAAGAAUAUGCAAUGAAAAUACUACCACGAGAUGUACAACACCGAGAACAAUGGAUAAAAAAUAUUACUAAUAAAUAUAAAUGGACACCCUCAAAUCAUUUAUACUUAUGCGAGGUGCAUUUUGAACUUGAAAUGUGGGAAUAGAGAAUGGAUAAUAAAAGGAAACUAAAACCAAACGCAACACCAACGAUUUUCGAAUAUUUUCUAAAGAAAAAAAAAGUUUGAUCUGAUCAGGAUCUUAAUACAAUUGAGGAAGAAUAUAAACCUAUCCAUGUAGAAAACUAUUAUAGCAAAUAAAAACCUGUGACGCUGAAAUUAAUGAACAAGGAAAAAAUGAAGAGCAGCUAGAAAGAAAUGUAAAACAAAUAGAAGAAAGAAAUGGCAAGCAGGUAGAAAAAAAAUAUAAUAAAGUACAACUUUGUUUAAUUGUUUUAUGCAAAAAAAAUAAGUUAUUAAGAAGUAAAAUACAAAUACUGGAAAACAAAAUUAAAAAUGGUAAAUUUAGAAAAGCUUUAAAGAAGGUUUUUUAACGAGGAUCAAAUAAAAGCUUUAUUUACAAAGCAACAAAGAACAAAACAUUGGAGCAAUAAAACUAUUCAACGUGCAUUAAGAUUGAGAUUUACUUAUGGUAACAAAGAACUUCUUCAACAGAAAAUGCCGCUUCCAAGUUUGCGCACUUUACAACGAAAAAUAGAAAAUUUAAAAUUUGAAAGUGGCAUUUCAAAUGACAUGUUUGAAUUCUUACGAUUAAAGGUUACUUUAUUUCAAAAUGAUCGAUAAAGUAUGUGGACUCGUUAUUGAUGAAAUGAGUAUCACAUCUAAACAUGUUUAUCAUUCUUCCACAAAAACAUUGCUUGGAAACAUAAGUCUUCCAGACCAAGAAGAUAUAGCAACGCAUGCCUUAGUAUUUAUGUUGACACGUACAGCUAGUCAAUGGAAGCAUAUUGUAAUUGAUAAAGCUAAAGAAAUUGGUCUUUAUGUUAAUUACAUAACUUCUGACAUGGGACCUGGGAAUUGUAGCAUAUGGAAAUAUUAUGGAAUUAAUGUGGGACGGUAUUCUGAGAUGAUAAAUUGUAUAUACUCCAUCCCUCUAAUCCUCAUAGAUCAUUGUAUUCCAUUGCAGAUGUACCACAUCUGCUAAGAAAUUUCAAAGAAUUAUUAUCUACAAAUAAAUAUUUUAUCUUACCAAAA